CAGUCGCCACGGGAACACGAAGGGGGCUAGCGUUGCUCGGAAUGACUGGGCGUAAAGGGCGCGUAGGCGGAUCACGCAGUCAGAUGUGAAGUUCCUGGGCUUAACCUGGGGGCUGCAUUUGAGACGCGUGGUCUAGAGUGUGAAAGAGGGUCGUGGAAUUCCCAGUGUAGAGGUGAAAUUCGUAGAUAUUGGGAAGAACACCGGUGGCGAAGGCGGCGACCUGGUUCAUAACUGACGCUGAGGCGCGAAAGCGUGGGGAGCAAACAGGAUUAGAUACCCCAGUAGUCCCGUCUCUUAUACA
rnacentral:rRNA from 1 species